GACGAACGCUGGCGGCGUGCUUAACACAUGCAAGUCGAACGGAAAGGCCCUGCUUUUGUGGGGUGUUCGAGUGGCGAACGGGUGAGUAACACGUGAGUAACCUGCCCUUGACUUUGGGAUAACUUCAGGAAACUGGGGCUAACACCGGAUAGGAGCUCCUGCUGCUUGGUGGGGGUUGGAAAGUUUCGGCGGUUGGGGAUGGACUUGCGGCUCAUCAGCUUGUUGGUGGGGUUGUGGCGUACCAAGGCUUUGACGGGUAGCCGGCCUGGGAGGUGGACCAGCCUCAAUGGGACUAAGAUACGACCCAGACUCCUACGGGGGACAGCAGUGGGAAGAAUUGCACAAUGAGCGCAAGGCUGAUGCAGCAACGUCGCGUGUGUGAUGACGGCCUUCGGGUAGGAAACCGCUUUCACCUGUUACGAAGCGUGAGUGACGGUAAUGGCAAAAGAAGCACCGGCUAACUACGUG
rnacentral:rRNA from 1 species